UAUAACGGUCCUAAGGUAGCGAAAUUCCUUGUCGGGUAAGUUCCGACCCGCACGAAAGGCGUAACGAUUUGGGCACUGUCUCAACAACAGACUCGGUGAAAUUGUAAUUCCGGUGAAGAUGCCGGAUACCUGCGACAGGACGGAAAGACCCCAUGGAGCUUUACUGUAGCUUGACAUUGGGUCUUGGUACUACAUGUACAGGAUAGGUGGGAGGCUUUGAAACCAGGACGCCAGUUUUGGCGGAGCCAUCCUUGGGAUACCACCCUUGUAGUACUGGGACUCUAACCAUAGGCCAUGAAUCUGGUCUUGGGACACUGUCAGGUGGGCAGUUUGACUGGGGCGGUCGCCUCCCAAAAGGUAACGGAGGCGCUCAAAGGUUCUCUCAGUACGGUCGGAAAUCGUACGUAGAGUGUAAAGGCAAAAGAGAGCUUGAUUGCAAGACAUACAGGUCGAGCAAGGAUGAAAAUCGGACUUAGUGAUCCGGUGGUUCUGCGUGGAAGGGCCAUCGCUCAACGGAUAAAAGCUACCCUGGGGAUAA
rnacentral:rRNA from 1 species